rnacentral:lncRNA from 1 species
GCAUGUUGCAAUAGUUUUUUGAAAGGGGUUUCCAACUAUUAAAAUGACUACUACUAAACUCAUAUGUAGUCAUUUAAGUUCAUAAUUACCUGAAAGUCUGAUGAAAACUGCCAUGCCUUUGACUUAUGAGCCAAAUAGUUUAAAUGAAAUUAGAUCAGCAUCAUAAUUUACAAAAUUAAAAUUCUUGUGUAUGUCUUUGGGUCUGAAAUUGUUCAGGCACAUAAAUUGUUGCUAUU